CAUAGUGUAUGUUUUGACACUACAUCUUCAAAUACAGCCUUUUCCUAAUCUCAUUUGUCAUUAUCUAGCAUGUAGCACUUGCAGUUUCUGGAAAUAUGUCUGAUGGACCAGUUGAUAAUCUUUUCAAAAAAAUUCAAAAUUUCUGGGAAACUAUUAAGCCUGACAUAAAUUUAAACAAUCUUAACAGGUUUGAAUGGAGCAAGAGAAAAGGAACAUUUUUAGAAGAACAGAAAAGUUUCCUCGUGGUGACUAUAAGCAUUUAGCAGAACUUGUUUUGGUUUGGCUAGGCAGUGAUAAGCUUGGAAAUUUUAAGUUUCGUAAACCUAUAGCUUUUCAUCAUGCAAGAUUUCUUUCAAAAGCUAUCUACUACAUGACAAUAGAACUGCUUACAUUUCAUUUGCAACAAUUUGAUAUAAUUAGGGAAGAAGAAAUAGCAACAGUCCCUCAAAUUGCUGAGUUUAUUGGGCUUUUUCAUGCAAGAUGGUUUCUGAAAGCACAAUUGGCAGUUUCUUCUCCU